rnacentral:rRNA from 1 species
AGUGAACGCUGGCGGUGGGCCUAACACAUGCAAGUCGAACGGCAGCACAGUAAGAGCUUGCUCUUACGGGUGGCGAGUGGCGGACGGGUGAGGAAUACAUCGGAAUCUACUUUUUCGUGGGGGAUAACGUAGGGAAACUUACGCUAAUACCGCAUACGACCUACGGGUGAAAGCAGGGGAUCUUCGCACCUUGCGCGAUUGAAUUAGCCGAUGUCGGAUUAGCUAGUUGGCGGGGUAAAGGCCCACCAAGGCGACGAUCCGUAGCUGGUCUGAGAGGAUGAUCAGCCACACUGGAACUGAGACACGGUCCAGACUCCUACGGGAGGCAGCAGUGGGGAAUAUUGGACAAUGGGCGCAAGCCUGAUCCAGCCAUACCGCGUGGGUGAAGAAGGCCUUCGGGUUGUAAAGCCCUUUUGUUGGGAAAGAAAAGCAGCAGGUUAAUACCCCGCUGUUCUGACGGUACCCAAAGAAUAAGCACCGGCUAACUUCGUG